AUGGAGCCGGGCAAUCCCUCGCCGCGCAAGGCUCAGAAAUGCAAAUCGUCGCCGCUGCCUGCGGUUCCGUACAAUGGAAGGGAGGGAGGAAGGGAGCGAGAGAGAGGGAGGGAGGAAGGAAGGGAGAGAGUGAGAGAGAGAGUGAGGGAAGGCGAGGAGGAGAGAGGAGAGGGGGGAGCCCCAUUGGCGGGGAGGCUGCUCGCCCCGGCCCAGCCCCGACGACGCGGCGGGUCCCCGGAGAGGGAGCGCCCCCUCCUCCGCGCCGCCUCGCCGUGCGCCUUGGUAACACCAGAGAGAGACUGUAGAAGUGGUAAUGGACUGAGAACUGCCAAGGGCUUGUACAAAAGGAAGAAGGUCUUGGAGUGUGAGGCUGAACCACGCAGUGAAGGCAGGUCAAAGGUGAAGCUGAGGUGGGAGAUAGAUGGAAAGAGCUGCGAGGGCUGUUGGAGAAUGACAUUGAAGAGGUCAGCAAAAGAGCCAGAGAAGGGGAGGGGAAGAAAAACUAGCAGGGAAUCCUUCAAGAGCUGUGGAGUUGCUACAUUGCCUAGGAUAGACGAUUAAACACUGUUCUUGUGGAUGGAAAAAAGAGGUAGAGGGACCAUGUCUGCUGGGGAGUGCGGAAGAGGAAGUGAGGCCUCCUGAGAAACUGCAGUUAGAGGUCUACCUUAAAGAAGAAUAAGAGUGGCCUAUGCUUCAUGUGAGAGAUGAACAAGCAAAGAAAAGGCUAGAAGAAUUUGUUUCAAUUUUCAUUACCUUGGAUAACUAUUUAGAUUAUCAAUUCCUCCUCCUCCUCCUCCUCCUCCUCCUCCUCCUCCUCCUCUUCUUCUUCUUCUUCUUCUUUGCAGUUCAAUUUUCAGGUACUUACCUCUAGUGAUAUGGACUCUUUGCUCUUCAUAAUAUAUCCCAACACGGGGUUUACUUCCAUUGUAACUGCAGCAUUGUUGGCACAGGUUCAACUUGUGAUCCACCAAUGCUGCCCAUGUGCUGCUGGUGAGCCAUAUUUUCCCCAUUCUGUACUUAUUUAAUUUUUUUAACGCAGCUGCAAGACUUUACAUUUCUUCCUGUUUGGCUUUCUCAAGGAAUCUAUUAACACAUUAGGUUAAUCAAAACCAUAUCUGACCAUUUCAUAAAUAUGGAUAUUAUGAGAAACUUACUGAAAUCAAGAUACAGUGGGUCUUCUGCACGAUGCGACCUACUCUGUGCCACAGUAACCCAAACCAGGCAGCCUGGCCCACAGUGGGGCAGGGUGCUGCUGGCAUGCACCAAGGACCAUCCACAUUGUGGGCAGCCCACCAGUGUCCAAUUUUGGAGGUCAGGAACCAAAGUCUCUGAAGUUGGCAGCUAGGGCUGUUUUGGCCAGGUGUCCAGAAAUGGCACACCUUCUGGUGCUACUUCCAGGUGCUUGGUGAAAUGGCUGUGUGCAUGGUAUAUUGGACCACAGCCCGUGUGCUAUGUGCCUCCCAAUAGAUCGUCCCAUGGUGCAGAUAACAUGUUCUAGUAGGUCCCCUGGGCCACUCUACCAGCUCAGUGUGGACUCGGCCACUAUGUCCAUGUUCAACGG
rnacentral:lncRNA from 1 species